CCUACGGGAGGCAGCAGUGGGGAAUUUUCCGCAAUGGGCGAAAGCCUGACGGAGCAAUACCGCGUGAGGGAGGAAGGCUCUUGGGUUGUAAACCUCUUUUUUCAGGGAAGAUAAUGACGGUACCUGAGGAAUAAGCAUCGGCUAACUCCGUGCCAGCAGCCGCGGUAAUACGGAGGAUGCAAGCGUUAUCCGGAAUGAUUGGGCGUAAAGCGUCCGCAGGUGGUUUUAAAAGUCUGUUGUUAAAGCGUGAGGCUUAACCUCAUAAGGGCAAUGGAAACUGUAAGACUAGAGUACGUUCGGGGCAAGGGGAAUUCCCAGUGUAGCGGUGAAAUGCGUAGAGAUUGGGAAGAACACCGGUGGCGAAAGCGCCUUGCUAGGCCGUAACUGACACUGAGGGACGAAAGCUAGGGGAGCGAAUGGGAUUAGAUACCCCAGUAGUCCUAGCCGUAAACGAUGGAUACUAGGCGUUGUCUGUAUCGACCCGGACAGUGCCGUAGCUAACGCGUUAAGUAUCCCGCCUGGGGAGUACGCACGCAAGUGUGAAACUUAAAGAUAUGACGUGNGAGAGCACGACGACGACACGAGGAG
rnacentral:rRNA from 1 species